rnacentral:rRNA from 1 species
GACGAACGCUGGCGGCGUGCUUAACACAUGCAAGUCGAACGGAAAGGCCCUGCUUGCAGGGUACUCGAGUGGCGAACGGGUGAGUAACACGUGGGUGAUCUGCCCUGCACUUCGGGAUAAGCCUGGGAAACUGGGUCUAAUACCGGAUAGGAGCCAUUUUUAGUGUGAUGGUUGGAAAGUUUUUUCGGUGUAGGAUGAGCUCGCGGCCUAUCAGCUUGUUGGUGGGGUAAUGGCCUACCAAGGCGGCGACGGGUAGCCGGCCUGAGAGGGUGGACGACCACAUUGGGGAUGGGAUACGGCCCAGACUCCUACGGGAGGCAGCAGGGGGGAAUAUUGCACAAUGGGCGGAAGCCUGAUGCAGCGACGCCGCGUGGGGGAUGACGGCCUUCGGGUUGUAAACUCCUUUCGCUAGGGACGAAGCUUUUUGUGACGGUACCUAGAUAAGAAGCACCGGCUAACUACGUG